rnacentral:rRNA from 1 species
AACGAACGCUGGCGGCGUGCCUAACACAUGCAAGUCGAACGUGAUUAGAGAGCUUGCUCUCUAUGAAAGUGGCGCACGGGUGAGUAACGCGUAGAUAAUCUACCCGAUGAUCCGGGAUAACACUUCGAAAGGGGUGCUAAUACCAGAUAAGCCCACGGGGUCCUUGGACUCUGCGGGAAAAGGAGGGGACUUUCGGGCCUUCCGUCAUCAGAUGAGUCUGCGUACCAUUAGCUAGUUGGUAGGGUAAAGGCCUACCAAGGCGACGAUGGUUAGCUGGUCUGAGAGGAUGAUCAGCCACACUGGAACUGAGACACGGUCCAGACUCCUACGGGAGGCAGCAGUGGGGAAUUUUGCGCAAUGGGGGAAACCCUGACGCAGCAACGCCGCGUGAGUGAUGAAGGCCCUUGGGUCGUAAAGCUCUGACAGAGGGAAAGAAGUGUAUUGUGGCUAAUAUCCACGAUACUUGACGGUACCCUCAAAGGAAGCACCGGCUAACUCCGUGCCAGCAGCCGCCGCGGUAA